UUGCUAUUUCGCUGACGAGCGGCGGACGGGUGAGUAAUGCAUAGGAAGUUGCCCAGUAGAGGGGGAUAACCAUUGGAAACGAUGGCUAAUACCGCAUGACCUCUUCGGAGCAAAGCAGGGGACCUUCGGGCCUUGCGCUAUUGGAUACGCCUAUGUGGGAUUAGCUAGUUGGUGAGGUAAUGGCUCACCAAGGCAACGAUCCCUAGCUGGUCUGAGAGGAUGAUCAGCCACACUGGGACUGAGACACGGCCCAGACUCCUACGGGAGGCAGCAGUGGGGAAUAUUGCACAAUGGGCGAAAGCCUGAUGCAGCCAUGCCGCGUGUAUGAAGAAGGCCUUCGGGUUGUAAAGUACUUUCAGUUGUGAGGAAGGUUUCGUAGUUAAUAACUGCGUUGCUUGACGUUAGCAACAGAAGAAGCACCGGCUAACUCCGUGCCAGCAGCCGCGGUAAUACGGAGGGUGCGAGCGUUAAUCGGAAUUACUGGGCGUAAAGCGCAUGCGGGUGGUUUGUUAAGUCAGAUGUGGAAAGCCCGGGGC
rnacentral:rRNA from 1 species